UCCUUCAUUCAGGAUUGGCACUCCACCCACUGCCUCUGAUGCUUUUAAAUAGGGACCUAGCACAUGCUAACUGCACAAAAGCUACAGAUGGAAAGUACUGCAUCCACCAUUACAGCACAGUAUUUUGUUCGAGGGGAGAUGUACAGUAUCGAGCCUUGGAGAGAGAUAAAGUGGAGUUUCGAAAAACAAAACACAGCAUCUGACAUUUCAAAGACUGUACUAGACAAAUAACAGUUACAGUAGAAGCUUUCCUAGCUUCUAACUGAUUUAUCAAGCCUAUCAUGGCUUGAUAUAUCACCCCCUGGGUCUGCAAUUAUCCCACCUGCUUCCACAGACAGAAAUCCCCAAAACAUGACCUACUGGGAAAACAUGAGGGCUGACGUUGACAACUACUGAUAUACACAAAAAAUACACAUAGUAAAUACUGUACCAGCUGGUACUAAUGAAGCUGAGAUAUCGGCUGGAACAGAUGGAGCCAGUGAGUGCUCACGCUGGACUAUAGCACUGGAGACGCCUAAAUGGAAGAACCAUUGAAACUAUGUAGAAACACACUGCUAGGCUGUGGACAACAUUGCACUGGCAGCUUGUGACUCUAAUUCCACCCCCUUUAUACCCUGAGGAAGUCAGAGAUUGGUUGCAGCGACCAGCUGAACAGCUGGCUGGCUCGGAUUGGCUAAGAACUGGUCACAUGAGUGUAAACAACAUGUAGGUGCCCAUGUCUGAGUUUUGGAGGGAACUCUGGCAUGGAGAAAGUAGGCUUUUAUGCAGGGAAAGGAGAAUGAGCAGAACAGCUGGAACCAGAGACAGCAUGUCAUGCUGAGAUCACAACAUAGGCAGACUUCCCUGCUGAGCUCAACACUUUGCAGAUUACAGGCACAGAAGAGCUCACACAGGUGGCUAGUCAGCAGCUAGCAACACAGACUGCAGCUUGUUUGCUGACCAAACAAUGAACACAGCCAAUGAACAGCCAAACAGGAUAUAUUAGAACUAGUAAACUGGACCAAACCCAGUAAGCAGGAAACACUGGACUGCAGACUGUUGGCAGGGGUAAGUCAUGGUAAGCUACUAAGACAAGAGGAACAAAGUCAGGAUCAUGACACAUUAAUUUUCAGUUACAAGACUGCAAUAAUGACCAACAUCCAACAAAUCACACUACCUACCCUGGAAAAAGUAUUUGCCAACAUGAAGAAGCAUGCGCAGACAUGUCUGGACGUUGGUUCCAUUUUCAACAUUUCCUGGAGGAACCAGUGCGACAUGGGAAGUGUUGCUUUCAGUGUACAGUAACCUUUUGGACACAUUGUACAAUUGCAACGACCCAGCCACCAGCCACUAUAGCACCUGUCAUCACUAUUAAUGGUACUUACCCGUACAUCUACCCUGAACUGGGUACAGAAGAUGCUACUGAAAAUUAUGGACCCAAUCCACACCCACGACUCAGAAUAGGUCACAACGACUCCAUGCUUACAACAGUCAAUGGGGCUCUUAUUUUGCAUACAAAUACCCAUUUGCCACCCAGUAACAUCCAUUCAGCCAUGGGUGGAUAGCGAAUGGGAUGUGAACAACUCAUGGUUGCUCUAAAAAUGCUGCGGUUGAUGUGUAGCUUGUGAAAAAUCACUAGACGUGGCCACAUUUGGAAUAACCUGUAACUCAGAUACAGUCCCUUAGUGCACACGUUGAGUUACAAUGAUAAGAGAAGUAAUCUUAUCAGAGUUGAUGUUGCGUCUAUAUAAUAUAUUGGCUAAUGUAGUACUGUAUAUUGUGAUCAUGUUCAUUUGCUCUCUAUAGUUAAUGUUUUAAAAUGUUUGUUUUCUGCCCCCAAACUGUCAGUCAGUUGGCUCUAACUCAUUUUUUUAAAGUAUUUGCAUGCCUUAUUGAUCACAUCUCACAAAUAUUAAUACAGGUGCUCCUCACUUAACAACCUACCUGUUUAACAACCGCUCGGAUUUACAAAUAGGUCUCUGACCACCUGGAAAUGGCACUUUAAUAAGUUUUAUACUUUUCAAUCAUUGUACUUUUAUGUUCUGUAAUA